rnacentral:rRNA from 1 species
CCUACGGGUGGCUGCAGUCGAGAAUCAUUCACAAUGGGGGAAACCCUGAUGGUGCGACGCCGCGUGGGGGAAUGAAGGUCUUCGGAUUGUAAACCCCUGUUAUGUGGGAGCAAAUUAAAAAGAUAGUACCACAAGAGGAAGUGACGGCUAACUCUGCGUCAGCUGCCGCAGUAAUAGCGGGGUCUCUAGCGUUGUUCGUAAUCACUGGGCGUAAAGCGUGUGGAGGCUGGUUCGUAAGACCUGUGAGAAAGGGGCGGGCUCAACCCGCGGACGGCACAUGAUACUGCGGGACUAGAGUAAUGGAGAGGUAAGCGGAAUGCGCGGUGUAGCAGUGAAAUGCGUAGAUAUCGAGAAGAACACUCGUGGCGAAGGCGGGUUCCUGGACAUUAACUGACGUUGAGGCCCGAAAGCGUGGGGAGCAAACAGGAUUAGAUACCCUAGUAGUC